AUUUCAACCCUCAAGCUCUGGCUUGGUUUUGGGCUCUGCCGGUCAACUGAACGGCUUGCCUUAAAGUCAAUGGCGGUACCACCGAACCCCUCCGCGCAGUAGUUUUUUUUCUCGCGAUUGGGAUUCGACUGGGUCCAUAGCCUUACCCUAAUUUAAUAUUGGUUGACCUCGGAUCAGGUAGGGAUACCCGCUGAACUUAA
rnacentral:misc_RNA from 1 species